rnacentral:rRNA from 1 species
AGUGAACGCUGGCGGUAGGCCUAACACAUGCAAGUCGAACGGCAGCACAGUAAGAGCUUGCUCUUACGGGUGGCGAGUGGCGGACGGGUGAGGAAUACAUCGGCAUCUACUUUUUCGUGGGGGAUAACGUAGGGAAACUUACGCUAAUACCGCAUACGACCUACGGGGGAAAGCAGGGGAUCUUCGGACCUUGCGCGAUUGAAUGAGCCGAUGUCGGAUUAGCUAGUUGGCGGGGUAAAGGCCCACCAAGGCGACGAUCCGUAGCUGGUCUGAGAGGAUGAUCAGCCACACUGGAACUGAGACACGGUCCAGACUCCUACGGGAGGCAGCAGUGGGGAAUAUUGGACAAUGGGCGCAAGCCUGAUCCAGCCAUACCGCGUGGGUGAAGAAGGCCUUCGGGUUGUAAAGCCCUUUUGUUGGGAAAGAAAAGCAGCAGGUUAAUACCCCGCUGUUCUGACGGUACCCAAAGAAUAAGCACCGGCUAACUUCGUG